rnacentral:rRNA from 1 species
UACGGGGGGAGCAAGCGUUGUUCGGAUUUACUGGGCGUAAAGGGCGCGUAGGCGGCCACCGCAAGUCGACUGUGAAAUCUCCGGGCUUAACUCGGAAAGGUCAGCCGAUACUGCGGGGCUAGAGUGCAGAAGGGGCAACUGGAAUUCUCGGGUGUAGCGGUGAAAUGCGUAGAUAUCGAGAGGAACACCUGCGGCGAAGGCGGGUUGCUGGGCUGACACUGACGCUGAUUGUGCGAAAGCUAGGGGAGCGAACGGG